AGCAGCCGCGGUAAUUCCAGCUCCAAUAGCGUAUAUUAAAGUUGUUGCAGUUAAAAGCUCGUAGUUGAACCUUAGGCUCGCGCGGGCGGUCCGUCCUCAGGGCGAGUACUGCUUCGUCGCGGGUCUCACCUUCUGGCGAGCGUGGAUGCCAUUUAUUUGGUGUCCGCGGGAACCAGGACCUUUACCUUGAAAAAUUAGAGUGCUCAAAGCGGGCUCUGCGCUUGAAUACAUUAGCAUGGAAUAAUGAAAUAGGACGAUGGUUCUAUUUUGUUGGUUUCCGGGACCGUCGUAAUGAUUAAUAGGGAUAGUUGGGGGCAUUCGUAUUCAAUUGUCAGAGGUGAAAUUCUUGGAUUUAUUGAAGACGGACUACUG
rnacentral:rRNA from 1 species